UUUUUCACAGAAAUGGUUUGCCUUUGCCUUUUUCUGGGCAGUGCCCUUACAAGAUGGGUGUCCCCAGCCAUUAUCAGUGCUCUUCAGAGAUUGUCUGGCAACAUUGGUCACAUAACCAUAAUGUAUAAUACGUGCCUUGUGCUCAUACAACCAUCCACCACCUGCUCCUAUUACCCUGAUCGGUAGUGGGGUGGAGGGGCUAAGCAGCUGUUACACUUUGCCCAAGGGUGACCUGCGAGCUUGUGGAGAGAAGGAACACCAUACACCUCCUUGGCAGAGAUGUAUCUCUACCCUCCUAACAAACUAUCAUGUUAAACUGUCUGUCCCAAAGCUCUCAAUCUAUCAAUUGGAUGUUUCAUUUGAAUCUCAUAGGAACUGCAUUCAAAUAAUAUAUGCUGCACUGUUGUUGACCACUGCAGUCCCUGUAAAUUCCUGUUUCAAGUACAUUUGUGAACAGAAAGUAUUCAAUUUGGUAUGUCUAAUAUGUAGAAGUGCUGCUCACAUGUGAAACUCUUGAAUCAGCAGGGACUAUUCGAGGAUCCAUACAAUCUUGGAGUGCAUCCAGGUGCUAAAGACAUGGCAACUGAAUACUUGGAUGUCAGAAGCAGAACAAUGGAAAUCGUGAAUGCUCAAAUGGUAGAGGUAGUCCCCGAGUUACGAACGUCUGAUUU